AUUAAUUACAUUUUGAAUCACUUUUGACUACUGAGACACUUUUUCUUGACUCUAGUUUGCUUCCUAACUAGUUUAGUUACUUUCCCGUAACAAUAAGGAAAAGACAAACUUUUGACCAAAAAAAAUUCACCUUUUUUAGGAUUUAUCAUCAUCGUCGUCGUCGUCGUCAUCGGUUUUGAGCUCUAUUUCUGUCGCUGCAGUUGUGCGUCCGCGGGACAUAGGUGCUCUGCUCGCAACUUCGCCAUCAUCUAGUGGCUCCUUUGGUCGCGACUCGCCAUGAUGAGCCGCCGCGGAAUCUCCUCUUCGUCGUCUUCAUAGGAAAAUCAUGAGACACCGAUAAUGAGACUCUGACAAUCAUCGUCACACAUACAGAAUCAGAGUAUAGCCAGAUCUGUACGAUUUUUUGCUGCGAUGGACAUAGGUAACAAACUCCGGCUGAUUUUUCUCUCAAUCGUAUACGUAUGCUCCACCGGAGGAUCCUUUACUCACCCUUGGUUCCCUUGGUUCAACAAGGGAAUUGCGUUCACGAUGACUGAGAGAGAUCGUCUUCUUCCAUCUAGUGCCAUGGACUCUGAGCAUCAAAUUCAGCGUUCCAUGACCGACUUGAAGAGAAUGGAGGAGCAAGCAAGAGAUGGACUUUCUGAUCCCAAUGCUCUUGCUAAAUGGCGAAUCCUUUUGCAGGAUCGAAAUGAGACCAUGUACUGAUGUACUAUAUGGUCAACUCCACUUCCUCUCUUUGUCACAAGUUGAGAAGACAUGUUUGUUUGAUUCUAAUCCGUGCUUGGAGGCCAAGAGGAAUGUAUUUUUAGCGCUGAAGAUCGUGGUGGAAUGAUGUCCAUGUGUUACAACUACCCAGCUGAACAGACUUGAAGUUGUCCAAUGAGUAUACAUGUAGCCAUCAUGGAUAUCGUGUGAAAGUGUACAUGUGGGGUAAUUGUUGUACAUGUGAAUAUGUAUACAUAUCAAUAUGAUUUUCAUAUAUAUGUUGAGCAAAUACAAAUUCAAGCAACAAAAGUCAUGUUUAAAUAUAAAAUGCUCUCUUUCUCGCACUUUAUUUCCUAUUAAACAUUUGUUUUUGUAUCACCGUGAUUGUUUUAGUACAAAGAUUUUUCCGCAUUU